UACAGAGGGUGCGAGCGUUAAUCGGAUUUACUGGGCGUAAAGCGUGCGUAGGCGGCUUUUUUAAGUCGGAUGUGAAAUCCCCGAGCUUAACUUGGGAAUUGCAUUCGAUACUGGGAAGCUAGAGUAUGGGAGAGGAUGGUAGAAUUCCAGGUGUAGCGGUGAAAUGCGUAGAGAUCUGGAGGAAUACCGAUGGCGAAGGCAGCCAUCUGGCCUAAUACUGACGCUGAGGCGCGAAAGCCAGGGGAGCGAACGGG
rnacentral:rRNA from 1 species